AGUUAUGGGGGUUCAUGUGGGCAUGAUCUUAGCGAAGCAGUACGUGAUAGCGUGUGAGUGGUAGUCUGUUUGUUUGGGUGGUGGGCUCUCUGCUUGUGCACUGAACCAUUUUACUAGAAAACCUCUUCAUAGUUUGCUCCAAGUGCAUCAUGUGCCUUGGGCAAUAGGGGGUCCCUAUGUUGAAUUCCUAAUGAUGGUAUUGAUGUUAUCCCAUGAAAGUGUGAUUUUCGCUUUACGUCCUUAACGGGUUGUCGAGCGGACAAUGAAACUUGGUCUGUUAUCCACCCAUCACGCGAAAACAAGCAUUGCAGACGACUUAAAUACGCGACGGGGAUGGAUGAUGGUCUGAAGUUGGGCCCAUGGAUGCAGAAUGUUGUGAGGGAGUCGACGUGAAUUUGUCGCACUCCCAACCUGGCGGUGUAUGCUAAUGAUGGAUGACGUUUGAGUGUGACUUGACCCUAGGGUCAUGCGUGCCGACGUCGACCGAGGAGUGCUACCUGGUUGAUCCUG
rnacentral:misc_RNA from 1 species